GCAGUGAUGGUUCAGAUGUUGAAUUCUUGGCUUCCAUGCAGAAGACCCAGGUUCAAUUCCUGGCCGAUGCA
rnacentral:tRNA from 1 species